rnacentral:rRNA from 1 species
UACGGGGGGGGCAAGCGUUGUUCGGAAUUACUGGGCGUAAAGGGCUCGUAGGCGGCCAACUAAGUCAGACGUGAAAUCCCUAGGCUCAACCUAAGAACUGCGUCUGAUACUGGAUGGCUUGAAUCCGGGAGAGGGAUGCAGAAUUCCAGGUGUAGCGGUGAAAUUCGUAGAUAUUGGGAAGAACACCAGUGGCGAAGGCGGCUAUCUGGCCCGUUAUUGACGCUGAGGCGCGAAAGCGUGGGGAGCAAACA